AACGACAAUAACAACAACAAAAACGAGAAAAAAACAGCUUUCCCAGAAACGUUUAUUUUUAUUAAAUCGUGUCUUUAGCCCUAGAAACAUUUGUGUACUCGAGGCCUGGUUAUCCCACUCAAAGCAGCAGAGCCCCAGAGAAAGCAGAGAUGGCAGAGGUGGCAGAGGGCUCCUGAGUGAGGCAGGGCUGGCCCCAGCCCAGGGCAGCAGCAGCAGCAGCAGGGCUGUUUGUGGGGUGCUCUGGGCAGGGCUGACACCACAUCCCAGCUCACUCUGCCCUGGAGCAUCCCCCAGAGCUGGGCAGAGCCUGGGGUGUCCAUGGGAGCACCAACCCUGUGCUGAGCUCCAGGCAGCAAGCCCAGGCAGAGCAAUGAAUAAAUUCCUGCCUGGAGCUUCCUGCACAGAGGCCAAGCCCCUCCACUGGCUCAGGUGGCUCCAGGGCUGGGAGCAGGUGGGAUCCCACAGCAGAGUCCUCACACGGGCAGGAUGAGCUGCCUGGGUACCUUCUGCAGUCAGAUGUUUUGCUGGAGCUACAAGGAUUUUUCUGCUUUUGUUUUUGUUUAACACAGGAAGGGAUUACCUGGGAAUUCAUGUUUCCCACCCCAGGCCUGGAGGUCAGCUGCAAAGGGAAGCUGGUGGCUGCAGCAUGAGCAGAGGUGCAAAAAGCUUUAUGUUUCUAGCUAUUUCUAUAUUCCAUGGGUAAUUUGAAUUUCCUUCCCUUUCUUCCCAGCCACACAAGAGGAAAAGAGAAAAGCCUCUCUGCAAGUGCCACAUGCACAGAGCCUGUGAUGCCCCAGGCCUCUCCAGCUGGGUGAACAUUCCCUGCAGGCACCAGAGAACAUCUGGGGGCACUCCCAGCUCUGAGCCAGGCUGAGCAGCAGGGCUGGGACAGCUGAGACCCUUCCUGCCCCCUCCUCUCCUGGAGUGACACUGCCAGCCCGGGCCAUAGCACAUUUAUCACACUGAUCAGGUAAAUGUGAUAUAACACAUUUAUCACACUGAUCAGGUAAAUGUGAUAACACAUCUAUCACACUGAUCAGGUAAAUGUGAUAACACAUUUAUCACACUGAUCAGGUAAAUGUGAUAACACAUUUAUAACACUGAUCAGGUAAAUGUGAUAACACAUUUAUAACACUGAUCAGGUAAAUAUGAUAACACAUCUAUCACACUGAUCAGGUAAAUGUGAUAUAACACAUUUAUCACACUGAUCAGGUAAAUAUGAUAACACAUUUAUCACACUGAUCAGGUAAAUGUGAUAACACAUUUAUCACACUGAUCAGGUAAAUGUGAUAUAACACAUUUAUCACACUGAUCAGGUAAAUGUGAUAACACAUUUACCCAGGCAUGGGCUGGGGGUCACAUUCAGCACUGCCUCCAGCAAGGGCAGCACAAACCCCACCAUGGCUGGUGAGCACCAGGGCUGGCACCCAGCUCAGCCACCUGGGUUUCAUCUGCCUCUGUUCAAGUGACCCAGGUGUCCCCACCCUGCUGCCCUGCUGAGGGCAGCUCCAGGCUCAGAGGAGCAGCUCAGAGCAGCAGCAGCUCCCUGCUGGGACGGGGCAGGGGAGGGAGCUGCUCUUUGCUCAGCCCAGGCACACCAACUGCCGGAGGCACAGGGCAGAACUGGUUUCAGACACGCCCCGAGAGCAGGGGUGAGAGCUGGAGUGGAAUUGCAGAUUGUCCCUGUGCCCAAGAGCCACAGGCACCCCAGGCAGGGCACUGGGAGAGCCCCAGAGCCUCCAGGGGAUGCUGCAGGAGCACAGGGGGCCUUGGAGCUGUCCUGGCUGGGACCACGCUGGGCUCAUCCCUUACAGGCUGCUCUCACUGAAGGAUUUGCAGGCUCUAUUUUUACCUCUAAAUUUUAAAAUAAUUACUAUUUUUAUUUGCCUCUGCUAACCCCUUCCUUUCCCAGCAGCCACCUGAAAAACUCCACCAGUGAAAAAAGGGAAUAAAAGUGUUUUCCUCUGUCA
rnacentral:lncRNA from 1 species